rnacentral:rRNA from 1 species
GCGCGAAAACUUUGCAAUGCGGGAAACCGUGACAAGGGAACUCCGAGUGCCCGUAAAUUCGGGCUGUCCGCCAGUUUGAAUAACUGGUGAAGAAAGGGCCGGGCAAGACCGGUGCCAGCCGCCGCGGUAAUACCGGCGGCUCGAGUGGUGGCCACUAUUACUGGGCUUAAAGCGUUCGUAGCUGGCCUGUUAAGUCUCUGGGGAAAUCUUCCGGCUUAACCGGAAGGCGUCUCAGGGAUACUGGCAGACUAGGGACCGGAAGAGGUGAGAGGUACUCCAGGGGUAGGAGUGAAAUCCUGUAAUCCUUGGGGGACCACCUGUGGCGAAGGCGUCUCACCAGGACGGCUCCGACAGUGAGGAACGAAAGCUGGGGGAGCAAACC